GAGGGUAUAACUCAGUGGUAGAGCACAUGCUUACCAUGCAAAGGUCCUGGGUUCAACCCCAGCACCUCCA
rnacentral:tRNA from 1 species